UACGAAGGGGGCUAGCGUUGCUCGGAAUCACUGGGCGUAAAGGGCGCGUAGGCGGCCGUUCAAGUCGGGGGUGAAAGCCUGUGGCUCAACCACAGAAUGGCCCUCGAUACUGGAUGGCUCGAGACUGGAAGAGGUUGGUGGAACUGCGAGUGUAGAGGUGAAAUUCGUAGAUAUUGGGAGGAACACCAGUGGCGAAGGCGGCUCACUGGACCGGAACUGACGCUGAGGCGCGAAAGCGUGGGGAGCAAACAGG
rnacentral:rRNA from 1 species